GCGUGAGUAAUCUGCCGGGAAGUGGGGGAUAGCUCGCCGAAAGGCGAAUUAAUACCGCAUAUGGCAAGGAAAGACAUCUUUCCAAAGCCAAAGUCGCAAGACGCUUCCUGAUGAACUCGCGGCCUAUCAGCUUGUUGGUGAGGUAACGGCUCACCAAGGCUAUGACGGGUAGCUGGUCUGAGAGGACGACCAGCCACACUGGAACUGAGACACGGUCCAGACACCUACGGGUGGCAGCAGUCGAGAAUUUUUCACAAUGGGGGAAACCCUGAUGGAGCGACGCCGCGUGGAGGAUGAAGGUCUUCGGAUUGUAAACUCCUGUCAUGCGAGAACAAGAAAGUGAUAGUAUCGCAAGAGGAAGAGACGGCUAACUCUGUGCCAGCAGCCGCGGUAAUACAGAGGUCUCAAGCGUUGUUCGGAUUCAUUGGGCGUAAAGGGUGCGUAGGUGGCGUGGAAAGUUGAGUGUGAAAUCCUAGGGCUUAACCUUAGAACUGCACUCAAUACUCCCAUGCUAGAGGAAUGUAGA
rnacentral:rRNA from 1 species